rnacentral:rRNA from 1 species
GACGAACCGUGCGAACGUUAUUCGGAUUCACUGGCUUAAAGGGCGCGUAGGCGGACUCGCCAGUCCGGGGUGAAAUCUUUCGGCUUAACCGGAAAAGUGCCUUCGAUACUGGAGCUUGAGUCCGGGAGAGGUGAGUGGAACUGCGAGUGUAGAGGUGAAAUUCGUAGAUAUUCGCAAGAACACCAGUGGCGAAGGCGGCUCACUGGCCCGGUACUGACGCUGAGGUGCGAAAGCGUGGGGAGCAAACAGG